UUUAUGUUUAUUUCAGAAUAAUAAAAAUAAAUAAACAAGAGAAAAAUCAUUACUUAAGGGAAUGGCGCUAAAGUAAUCAAGCCUUAAAUAAUAUACUUGUAAAUAAAGAAAUCGACAAAGCAUUGCAGGUUAAACCCAAUAAUAAUGAAGUUGAGAGUUGCAUUGAUUUCAAAAACACUCAAAUUGAGAUCUAUAGUGACAUUUUGUGUCUAAUCAUAAAGAUACUUCUGAAACUGAGAGUUCUGAUCUAGACUCUGAGGUUUCUAUGAAUGAUGAUAAUGAAGAUCUAAAUGAUGUUAUACUUGUUACAGAGAUGGCCAAAUGGAUUUUAAAACACAGAAUAACUAGAAAUGCAAGUGUUGAACUGUUAUUUUUAAUUUUACACUAGUAUGGUCAUCAUAUUGAUUUACCAAAAUGCACAAGGACAAUUUUACCCCUAGGAAUGUUCCAAGUGAGUUAAAAUGUGGAGGUGAAUAUGUUUAUCUUGUUAUUUCAAACAGCAUAUCAAAAACUUUAGCAGUCAACUAGCAUUAUAGAAUUGAUUCAAAUGCAACUUUUUUAGUUGUCAAUAUAGAUGGCCUUCCCUCAUUCAAGUUAUCAAACACACAUUCCUAUAUUAUUUAUAUUUGACAAAGGGACACCGUUUAUUUUAUCAUUAUUUGUUGGUGAUAACAAGCUAAAUAAUCGUGAUGAUUUUUAUAUGAUUUUUUGCAUGAGUAUGAGUUAUUAUUGGCAAAUGGUUUUCAGUAUAAUUCAUAUAACUUCAAUUACAUCUUGAGAAAAAUUGUUGCAAAUGUGCCGAUAAAACAUCAGGAAGUGUAAGCUUAACCAUUUUCAAAAGAUUGAGUCUAUUGAAGAAUUUUAUGAGCUUGAAACCAGAUUAAAAGACAACCGGGAGUACUGUAAAUUAAACAACUGUGAUAAAUAACCAAAUGAACCUAAUCCUGUCUUAUUCGAACAUGAACUUUUCACUACACUUUCAUUUAUGUUUUCGCUUUGUCACCUCAAGAAAGCAGGUGGAAAAAAUGUUAUGGUCAGGUAUGUAUUUUUGAUUAACUCUGGAUAAUCAAACCAUUUAAACUGUGAGUAAUUAAUAGAAAUAUCUAGCCCAAGAAAAGUAAUUUAGAAAAACAAACAAUUUUAAUAUUAUUAUUUGGGGAGAACCUUAAUGAAUGAAACAUUGAUUAAAUGGGACAAAAUCAAAUUUGCAUACAAACAUAUAAGGUUAAUUAGUAAAUAAACCCUGUGGUAAAAAAUGUUAAACACAACAAUUCAACAGACCAAAUCAUUAUUCUAUCAUAGCCUAAACAUGAUGGGCCAAACAUAACAUUAAAACUGUUGCAUUAAUGGAAAUUAAUAGCACAUUUUUCCUGGCGGAACAAACAAUUUUCAAUGUAUAAAUUAGAAAACUUUAUCAACUUUUAAAAAGUCUUUUACAAAAACUGCCCCGUUCAUUUAGGUUCUCCCCUACAGGUUUCAGCUUUAAUUUGAUGUCAAAAUUGAAUGUACAACAUUUAUAAAAAAGUAUAGAACCUUUCAAAACUAUACUUUGUGAGUUAUUACUUUAAUGUGUGUUUACAAUUAAUGAAAUAAGUUUGCUGGAUCGAUGUAGUAUUAGAAAGUAGUUAUUUUUCAUUUAUUAUUUUUUAUUACGUUUUUAUGGAAUUAUGGAGCAUCAUGUUAAGCCCAAGUUGAAUAUAAAAAGCAAAAUUCGUGGUGAUGUAAAAAAGGUAUCAUUCGAAGAUAAAAAGUUGUGUAAAGCAAUAAUUGGAGUCAUCCAGCUAAUGCACUAGUCUUCAACUGAAGCAAACAAAAGAUCAAAUAGAAAGCAUUUUUAAGUUCUCUCCAUUGAACAAUAAUUUAUUUUUGAGUUUUUUUGUAAAUUUAUAAUACAAAAGAAUAUAUAAUACAUCUUUAAAA